rnacentral:rRNA from 1 species
UACGUAGGGCGCAAGCGUUGUCCGGAAUUAUUGGGCGUAAAGAGCUCGUAGGUGGCUUGUCGCGUCUGCCGUGAAAUCCUGUGGCUUAACUGCGGGUCUGCGGUGGAUACGGGCUGGCUUGAGGUAGGUAGGGGCAAGCGGAAUUCCUGGUGUAGCGGUGAAAUGCGCAGAUAUCAGGAGGAACACCGGUGGCGAAGGCGGCUUGCUGGGCCUUACCUGACGCUGAGGAGCGAAAGCGUGGGGAGCGAACAGG